GGAGCAAAACUUGGAACCAGUCAUGGUCGAGGAUCUUGUCCAAGUCAAUCCUCUUGUUUGGAUUUUUUUCCAUGCAUGAAGAUAUCAGUUCUCUGCAUUCUGUGAAGAAAGUGGGGAGAGAUGUCAGAUUAUUAUUGGACAGGUGUUGGUGACAUACAUGCAGAAGAAUCUUGGACUGCAACGCAGCUGUGAGAUGUGCACUGCCCCAUUGCGUCAGAUGUCUCGCUGAUGUUCUGUCACAAACUUUAUCACAAAUCGACUGAACUUUUAUAGCACACAGAUCAGUGAAAAACUACAAAUCAAGUGAUAUAACACACACAGUCAGAGUGAUAUAACACAACUUGCGCGACUUUCACCACAGAUGUACUACAGUACUAGUCAGAUCGAUUGAUGCAGCAGAAACAGAUGAACUGAACUUCAGUCUUCGCGGGGUUUCAUUUAUAGGCUGUGGGAGACUCUGACUGUGACGUCACAAGUGCUGACGCGUCGGCCGGUUGCCAAGGGAUUUUUUCGAAUGUUUUGGUCACGUGAAUAUACAGAUACACGCAAACGAUAACUGCUAUUGUUUAGACAUAAAAUAAAUAUAUUUAUCAACUUUAUCUUCAAACAUUUCUUCAUUCAAAAGCUUCAUGUCACGAUUACUACAACUUCUGAUGUCAAACCCGGAGCUCGACGAUCAUAAUCGACUCGAGGUCUGACACCAACGCCUGACCCUAACCCUGUCCUGUCCAUCAGGGAUCGGGACCUUGCCUCAGUCUGGUUCAAGUGGAAUCGGCCCAUCGCCUGGCUCAGGUCAUUCGAAAUAUGAUGUGCUUGGUGAGCUGGGAUGGGGAUCCUUUGGCUGUGUCAAAAUGGGAAUUCGGAAGUCUGAUCACAGAAAGGCAGACCUUCCUUUCUUUUUUGUGAGUACAGUGAAGCAGAAGGACACCCGAGGCCUGACACCAUUAAGCUUGGCCCUUAAACAGACUCGCUCGUCUCUGGGUUUAUUCUGAGUCAGGUGGCACAUUCAGCCCUCAUCAGUGCGCCCACAGAGCCCACCUUGAACUUCCUGUACGGACUGAAAUGUCGCACCUCUGCAACCACAUACUGCUGGAAGAAAGGGUGGUUUAAGGCAUCUGUGGCAGUGUAACGUGUCUCGGGAUUCACCACCAACAACCUGGAGAUCUGGAAGUUUAAACAGCCCAUGAACACCACAGGUCUGCACCAGACGCACCAGGUCUUUGACAGUGUCUGAACGGUCAUCCCACUCCGGAGAGGUGAACUCGUAACUUCCUGCUAGGAUCAUGCGCAGCAUUAGCAUCUGCUUCCUGUGCCAGAAGGGAGGGGAACCUGCAAGAAGGGUGUACAUGAUCACCCCUGCACUCCAGCUGAAAAAGACAAGAAACGAUAAACAAAAAGAUCAACGAAAGUCUUAUUAUGGAUUUGGAACGACAUGAGGAAGAGUAAAUGAUGGAGGAUUUUCAACCCUUUAAUAUUCUCUAUGCCUGGCAGCUAGACCGGUGCCGCUUCAGUGACCGCUCCAUGUUUCACGCCUCUGGUUCCUUGAGCCGCUGCCUGAUCUCCAGUAUUGUCACUCCAUCAGGUCUGCCUCACCUCUUCAGUUCUCCGGCCUAACAUCACCUGCCUGUUCUCCUGUCGUGUGCCCUGUCCUGCUGUUUGGAUUGUCUUCACGCCUCACCUUCCUCCUUGUGCCCAGUGUCAUUAAAUAUCACCCAUUGCUCAUUCUGCGUCUGGGUCCUCUCUCUAGCGGAUUGCGUGACAGAAUCUUCGGUUUUAAAAAAAACACGCCCAAGAUGGUGCGCUACAAAUUUCACGUCCCUCUAGUUGUAUUUGCUUUUCGUCGAUUUUCAUGUGAAUCUAACAAGUUUGACAUUGAUAUAAAAAAGUCAACAAAUCUUAUUCUCAUUAACAUCAAGUGAAAAUAAUAAUGUUUAUUAUUUCAAUGGCGGUGAAUAUGACCGGGACAUUUUUCCAUCUUCACUAAAAUAUGUGUACAAUAUUGA